rnacentral:lncRNA from 1 species
GCUGACUCUCUUUUCGGACUCAGCCCGCCUGCACCCAGGUGAAAUAAACAGCCAUGUUGCUCACACAAAGCCUGUUUGGUGGUCUCUUCACAGGGACACGGAUGAAAUUUGGUGCCGUGACUCGGAUCGGGGAACCUCCCUUAGGAGAUCAAUCCCCUGUACUCCUUUUCUUUGCCCUGUGAGAAAGAUCCACCUAUGACCUCAGGUCCUCAGACCGACCAGCCCAAGGAACAUCUCACCAAUUUUAAAUCAGACCUUGAAGAUUUGUUGUUCAAGGAGAAACUGAAGAGCAAGAAGGAAAGUGAGAGCCAGCAAUACCAGCAGAGCCAGAUCUGAGCUGGGAGAAGGGGAGAAAGUUUGUGAAGAGGAGAUCGGUGACCUGGGCUCCUUAUGUGCCUGAAAGAGUUUGAGUUUCCUGUUAACUCCAAAUCAACAGUAUUUUCAACAAGAAAUGUGCAAUUGAAAUCAAGUGCUGUUUAAGUGCAGCUAGGAUUUCCACAGGAAGACACUUGCAGUGAACAGAGUUAUGGAGCAGCAAAAACACAGAUCUAUUUGGAAAAAGAGAAAACAUAUGCGUUGUAUUUUGCUUCAAUUAUAAAAUACCAUCCUCUCAAAGGUGGUUCUAAAUUACAAAGGACUUUGAUUUCUAGGUAGAUUCUGGGUAGAGACUUCCUUUCAUAUUGAGGCAUUAAUGACACCUUUUAACCUGGGAAGCAAUAUGACUGGAGUUGUACUUUGAGAAGAUUAAUCAGGUUUGGUUGCAGAAUGAAAGAGAAGAUGAAGUCAAGAGAUUGGUUUAGAGGCUCUAGCAGAAGCUUAGUCAUAUUUCAAAAUGAUCAAAUAUCAAGAAAAAUUCUGAGCUGCAUAACUUGUAUAAAGUAAUUUUCAGUGAUUUUUUUCAUGGUUAUGAUAAAAGAACUGGAUUAGCAGAAACUUUUACCCUGAAUCAAGAUUUAAUUUUUCUUUGAGCUCAUCUUAAGGAUAUCGGAACAUAGGGAGCAAACGAUGGUGUGGCUGCCUCAGUGCUUGAUUUUUAACGGUUUUGAAGAGAAUAGUUACAUUUCUUCUCCUAGUAAGAACUAAUAAAUACAUUAACAGAAAUGAAUUCCCUAUCCCUUUGUACACUGGUCUAUUUCUUCAAAACAUUAAAUACUAUUGAUAAGAUAUCACCUUUUAAAAAA